rfam:Tetranychus urticae London genomic scaffold, scaffold_1
GUCGUUGCAAAAGAAAUCCUGCUCAGUACGAGAGGAACCGCAGGUUCGGACAAAUGGUACAUGUGCCUGCUCGACCGAGCAAUGCCACGACGCUAUCGUCCGAGGGAUUAUGACUGAACGCUUUAAGUCAGAAUCCCGUCAUUAUACGGUAACGAU